rnacentral:lncRNA from 1 species
UGAAUUGGAGGUGAAAAAGGAUGUUGAACCAAGAAAGAAGAAGAAAUGAGAGAAAGGUGUGAGCGUCAUUCCUGUAAGACCCCAAUUUUGACCCUAAAAUCCCUCAUGGCAUCAUAACAUUGCAUUUGCAUAGCCUCAAGGAUCAUGAGCAUCUUGGUUCCCUUUGCCUUUGGGUGGGACUCCUUGUGAUUGGUUUGAGAUCACCAAGCAUGCUUGAAUUAUACAUCAUUGUUUCUCUUACUUUUGUUUACUAAAAAAAAAAAU